AAUCCCUUAUCGAGGAUCAAUUGGAGGGCAAGUCUGGUGCCAGCAGCCGCGGUAAUUCCAGCUCCAAUAGCGUAUAUUAAAGUUGUUGCAGUUAAAAAGCUCGUAGUUGGAUUUGUGGUUUACGCAAGGCUUCCGUCCCUCUUGGGUUUCGGUGUUGCCUGGCGUUGCCAUCCUUGGGUGGAAUCUGUGUGGCAUUAGGUUGUCGUGCAGGGGAUGCCCAUCGUUUACUGUGAAAAAAUUAGAGUGUUCAAAGCAGGCUUAUGCCGUUGAAUAUGUUAGCAUGGAAUAAUAAUAUAGGACCUUGGUACUAUUUUGUUGGUUUGCGCACCGAGGUAAUGAUUAACAGGGUCAACUGGGGAUAUUCGUAUUCCGCUGUCAGAGGUGAAAUUCUUGGAUUUUUGGAAGACGAACUACUGCGAAAGCAUUUAUCAAGGAUGUUUUCAUUAAUCAAGAACGAAAGUUAGGGGAUCGAAGAUGAUUAGAUACCAUCGUAGUCUUAACCAUAAACUAUGCCGACAAGGGAUUGGUGGAGUAUCGUUACGUCUCCAUCAGCACCUUAUGAGAAAUCAAAAGUCUUUGGGUUCCGGGGGGAGUAUGGUCGCAAGGCUGAAACUUAAAGAAAUUGUCGGAAGGGCACCACCAGGAGUGGAGCCUGCGGCUUAAUUUGACCCAACACGGGAAAACUUACCAGGUCCAGACAUAGUGAGGAUUGACAGAUUGAGAGCUCUUUCUUGAUUCUAUGGGUGGUGGUGCAUGGCCGUUCUUAGUUGGUGGAGUGAUUUGUCUGGUUAAUUCCGUUAACGAACGAGACCCCUGCCUGCUAAAUAGCCCAGUGAGUGAUUUUUCACUGACUGUUUGCUUCUUAGAGGGACGUGCAUUCUAUUAGAUGCAGGAAGAUAGGGGCAAUAACAGGUCUGUGAUGCCCUUAGAUGUCCUGGGCCGCACGCGCGCUACACUGAUGAAUUCAACGAGUUUUUUCCUUGGCCGAGAGGCCUGGGCAAUCUUUUGAACGUUCAUCGUGAUAGGGAUAGAUUAUUGCAAUUAUUAAUCUUGAACGAGGAAUUCCUAGUAAACGCAGAUCAUCAAUCUGCAUUGAUUACGUCCCUGCCCUUCGUACACACCGCCCGUCGCACCUACCGAUUGAGUGGUCCGGUGAAGCCUCGGGAUUGUGGUCAGUUUGCUUUAUUGCGAGUUGAUUGCGAGAACUUGUCUAAACCUUAUCAUUUAGAGGAAGGUGAAGUC
rnacentral:rRNA from 1 species